ACGCUCGACACCUACGGGAAGCAGCAGUGGGGAAUAUUGCACAAUGGGGGAAACCCUGAUGCAGCAACGCCGCGUGAAGGAAGACGGUUUUCGGAUUGUAAACUUCUGUUCUUAGUGAAGAUAGUGACGGUAGCUAAGGAGCAAGCCACGGCUAACUACGUGCCACAGCCGCGGUAAUCUGAGCGGGCUGGCAAGGC
rnacentral:rRNA from 1 species